rnacentral:pre_miRNA from 1 species
GCAAAGUUCACUGUUCGGCGCCAUGGAUCUCCAGGUGGGUCACGGUUAGAAAUACACCAACCUGGAGGACUCCAUGCUGUCGA